UACGUAGGGGGCAAGCGUUGUCCGGAUUUAUUGGGCGUAAAGAGCUCGUAGGCGGUUCAGCAAGUCGGGUGUGAAAAAUCUGGGCUCAACCCAGUGGAGCACCCGAUACUGCUGUGACUCGAGUCCGGUAGGGGAGUGUGGAAUCUCGGGUGUAGCGGUGAAAUGCGCAGAUAUCCGAAGGAACACCAACGGCGAAGGCAGCACUCUGGGCCGGUACUGACGCUGAGGAGCGAAAGCCAGGGGAGCGAACGGG
rnacentral:rRNA from 1 species